AUAAAAACGGGUCUAUGCGUUGACUCGAGCCAGGUGGCGUGGACUUAGCAUCAUUACGAAGAAAAGAAGGUUUGAAGAUCGAGUCAAGAGCGAGGGUUGUACGGGAAGGAUCAGUCACAUAAUUUGACAAAAAAA